rnacentral:rRNA from 1 species
CCUACGGGAGGCAGCAGUGAGGAAUAUUGGUCAAUGGCCGGAAGGCUGAACCAGCCAAGCCGCGUGAAGGACGAAGGUUCUAUGGUUUGUAAACUUCUUUUGUAGGGGAAUAAAGGUAUCCACGUGUGGAUAUUUGCAUGUACCCUAUGAAUAAGCAUCGGCUAACUCCGUGCCAGCAGCCGCGGUAAUACGGAGGAUGCGAGCGUUAUCCGGAUUUAUUGGGUUUAAAGGGUGCGUAGGUGGUUUUUUAAGUCAGGGGGUAAAGUUUGGGGCUCAACCAUAAAAUGGCCGUUGAAACUGGAAGACUUGAGUGUGUUUGAGGUAGGCGGAAUGCGCGGUGUAGCGGUGAAAUGCAUAGAUAUCACGCAGAACUCCGAUUGCGAAGGCAGCUUACUAAGCCAUAACUGACACUGAAGCACGAAAGCGUGUGGAUCAAACAGGAUUAGAUACCCUAGUAGUC